rnacentral:snRNA from 1 species
GUGCUCACCUUCACAGCAUAAUACUAAGAACAAUGCAGAGAAGAAUAGCAUGGCCCCUGUGCAAAAGAUGACAAAAUUUUUUGAAGCACUUUCUAUGCUUCU